rnacentral:rRNA from 1 species
GAUGAACGCUGGCGGCGUGCCUAAUACAUGCAAGUCGAGCGAACAGGCGAGGAGCUUGCUCCUCUGACGUUAGCGGCGGACGGGUGAGUAACACGUGGAUAACCUACCUAUAAGACUGGGAUAACUUCGGGAAACCGGAGCUAAUACCGGAUAAUAUAUUGAACCGCAUGGUUCAAUAGUGAAAGACGGUUUUGCUGUCACUUAUAGAUGGAUCCGCGCCGCAUUAGCUAGUUGGUAAGGUAACGGCUUACCAAGGCAACGAUGCGUAGCCGACCUGAGAGAGUGAUCGGCCACACUGGAACUGAGACACGGUCCAGACUCCUACGGGAGGCAGCAGUAGGGAAUCUUCCGCAAUGGGCGAAAGCCUGACGGAGCAACGCCGCGUGAGUGAUGAAGGUCUUCGGAUCGUAAAACUCUGUUAUUAGGGAAGAACAAAUGUGUAAGUAACUAUGCACGUCUUGACGGUACCUAAUCAGAAAGCCACGGCUAACUACGUG